rnacentral:rRNA from 1 species
GACGUUACCCACAGAAGAAGCACCGGCUAACUCCGUGCCAGCAGCCGCGGUAAUACGGAGGGUGCAAGCGUUAAUCGGAAUUACUGGGCGUAAAGGGUUCGUAGGUUGUUGAAUAAGUUAUGUGUGAAAUCCCUGGGCUUAACCUGGGGCGGUCAGAUAAUACUGUUUGACUCGAGUAUAGGAGAGGGUAGUGGAAUUUCCGGUGUAGCGGUGAAAUGCGUAGAGAUCGGAAGGAACACCAGUGGCGAAGGCGGCUACCUGGCCAAAUACUGACACUGAGG